UGGCACAUUUCAUUGUCCUGUUCUUCCCCUCCUAAGAGCUGAGAUAUUUCUGAUGUGCUAGAUGAAAUUGAAGGUAAAUUAGCAGAGUGGCUUGUCAGUGUCGACCCUGCCAGUCCCCUUCACACAUGU